CCAAGAAACAUCAAUUGAUUGCUUAGGAAAUUUAUUUAGGAUUUUGGUGGUAAAGAAAAUUAUUCACCGGACCGAAUUUUGCAAUUUAUUAUGCAAGAAAGUCGUAGUCAACAAAUAUACCAGCGAGAUAAUUUUUUAAAUGUAUUUACCUCAUUAAAGCGAUUCUGUUCAAAUGUUGAUUGAAAGUGCGGUAGCCACGAGAACAGUAUUUCCACCUAGAAAACUAUGGCAACGCUAGAAAAUCGACAAAUUUCCUCGCUUUCCACGGCUGCGCCCUCCUUUAUUCCCGAAAGAGAAUUCGGUCAAAUGAGAUGAGAGAAAAUGCCACCCUACUAGGGGAAAAAAAUAGUGUUAAGUUUUAUCACGCUGAUAGAGGAAACAGCAUGAAUGAAGGGUAAAUCUGCUAAUUUUCCGAUUACCAUCACUUUGCUGAUGUUAUCUUUCAUUCCGUGGCCGGGACCAACAGUCUUUAAAAUAUCCUGCCCCAGAGACAAUGCGAGGAUUGUAAGGAAAGUUAUUCAAACCAAGUGGAUUCCAGUAUUGGACAAGCAUAAGGUAAAAUUGCCUCUGGAGUGCCCCUUUCACCCAAAUAGAGACAUUUUCGGACCACAAGAAUCGUUAAAGAAACAGCACCGUCCAUCGCAAUGGACUUGCGGAAUAUGCGGAAAGUCCUUUUUCGAGGAAAAGUUCUUGGAUAUUCACUUUGAUAACCGACACAAGGGCAAUAUCAACAUGGCAGAAGACGCAGUAUGUUUGGCCGAUUACUGUGACAUAAUGAGAUGCGAUGUGAUCAACAUUAUGGACCUGAAAACAGUGGCAUCCAAUCAUGAUAACACAGACAUUGAGAUUUGGAGGGAAGCUUCAUCGUAUUCAAAAGCACUGGUAGCUUCAGGACCUCGAGACGUGGCAAAGUAUGUAAUAAAGAACGGGAACUUUGUGCCAGUUCAAAAGGUUGACAAAGAAAAAUCUGGGAAGCGGUGCGAAAAAGCUGAUACACCUGAAACUGCAAAUAUGAAGGGUAAAAACAUGAUUUUCCUUGAAAGAUCAACAUAUAUGCUGAUGAAAUUUUCAGAUAGCAGCUCAUCGAAUGAAGGAGACGUUUUUCAGCAAAACGCAAGUUCGAAUAACGUUUGCCAAAACGAUCUUGUCGAUUCGGCUUUGCCGCCACCCGAUAACCGGCAGCAACGUCUUAACGAAAUCCAAAAACUAAAAGCCAACUGCAAACCUGAGGAACUUCAGAAAAUCAAAACCAAGUGCGAAAUCUUAGUUAGGGACUGUAUAGCGAGCCUGUUGAUUCAAUUGAGCGUCAAAGACUUUAGAGAAGUUGAAGAUGAAUUAAACAGAGCGGUGUGUUGGUACUUGACCUGCGACCGAUACUGGGAGGACUCCCAAAGCGACAUCAGAACAUUUCCUUGGGGAAUUUUGUGCAUGCUCAUCAUGGUAUUGUCUUUGGGAGCAUGUCUUUGUUAUUACGUUGUUUGGGUUUUGUUUGAGUAAGUAUGCGACACUACAUUUUAUAUAUCGACUCUGGCUUCCAAAAUUAAAACGUUUGUGGUCCAAGUACAAGACUAAAAAGUCCAUGUGGAUUUAUAACUUGGAGUAGCACGUUUCAAGCACAAUCACACACAAAUUAAACAUGUUUCUUUGCUUGGAUUCUUCAAAUCCACCGAGUUAAAGAUGUAAAAUGAUAUUUUUCGGCAACAUUUCUGGAACAGGUGUAAUAGCAAUUCACACUUUAAGUAGGUAGCCAAAACACCAAUUCCCGAACUUAGAUUACGGACGAUGUUAGUGUAACGAGCGCCAGUAUGACUGAUCGAUCUACACCAUCACCUGCACAUUUACUAAGGUCAGAUGUUGCUGUAGGAGUGGAUGGACAUCAUGUCUACUCCGAGGACUAUAUCGGGACGGAUAAAGACGAUUACAUCUACGUUACCUAUCCACCAGACUUAAAAAGAAGACUGUUAGAAAGCUGCUACAAUCGAACAACGCGCUUGUGAGAGUAGGAGAGGCUAGUCUAGGAAAGUCUAGAGUUAUCAGAAAUUGAAUUUGCAAGUCUGAGAUUUGUCUAGGAAUAUUUGUAGUGUAGAUAACAAAUUUAGUAACAGAUAUAUGUUGUGGUCUUCUAGGUUGAAGCUAGUGCUUAAAAAAGUGUUACUAAUAGUUUCCUAUCUCUCAAGGUUUGGAACUUCAGUGCCUACGAUACUGUCCCUUAGUAUAUGUACCACGUUUUUGAGUAACAGCGCGCAUAGCUGGGUGUUAAAAUCACUUUAAGUUCUCUACUAAAUGAGAUUUAUCGAUAACUGGCAAAACCAGGUGCAAAUACUGUUUCGACUUAACUAUUUAGAUUCAAUAGAUUGUAGAGUAGACCCAAUUCUAGAAUUUUUAUAAAAUUCUCUUUGUUAACGAUAAAAUAAAAAAUAUUGCUUUGUA
rnacentral:misc_RNA from 1 species